rnacentral:tRNA from 1 species
ACGGUCAUGGCAGAGCGGUCUAAUGCGCUUGAUUAGAAAUCAAGUCUCUUCGGAGGCGCAAGUUCAAAUCUUGCUGACCGUG